GAUGAAGAACGCAGCGAAAUGCGAUACGUAAUGUGAAUUGCAGAAUUCAGUGAAUCAUCGAAUCUUUGAACGCAUAUUGCGCUCUCUGGUAUUCCGGAGAGCAUGCUUGUUUGAGUAUCAGUAAACACCUCAACUUCCAUAUCUUUUUUGAAAUGGGAGUUGGACUUGAGUGAUCCCAACGCUUUUCCUCACCGAAAAGUGGCGGGUUACUUGAAAUGCAGGUGCAGCUGGACUUUUCUCUGAGCUAUAAGCAUAUCUAUUUAGUCUGCCUAAAAACCAGAUUAUUACCUUUGCUGCAGCUAACAUAAAGGAGAUUAGUUCUUGUGCUGACUGAUGCAGGAUUCACAAAGACAGGCUUCGGCCGACUUUGUAAACUCGAUCUCAAAUCAAGUAAGACUACCCGCUGAACUUAAGCAUAUCAAUAAGCGGAGGA
rnacentral:misc_RNA from 1 species